rnacentral:rRNA from 1 species
GAGUGAAGCGGUAACAGCUCAAAUUUGAAAGCUCGCUCUUUUAGGGUGCGCAUUGUAAUUUGUAGAAGAUGCUUCGGGUGUGGCCCCGGUCUAAGUUCCUUGGAACAGGACGUCAUAGAGGGUGAGAAUCCCGUAUGUGACUGGGUGCUUUCGCCUAUGUGAAGCUCUUUCGACGAGUCGAGUUGUUUGGGAAUGCAGCUCUAAAUGGGUGGUAAAUUUCAUCUAAAGCUAAAUAUUGGCCAGAGACCGAUAGCGCACAAGUAGAGUGAUCGAAAGAUGAAAAGCACUUUGGAAAGAGAGUUAAACAGUACGUGAAAUUGUUGAAAGGGAAGCGCUUGCAACCAGACUUGCGCGCUGAUGAUCAUCCGGGCUUCUGUCCGGUGCACUCGUCUGCGCUCAGGCCAGCAUCGGUUUUGGUGGUGGGAUAAAGGCCUUGGGAAUGUAGCUUCUUUCGGGGAGUGUUAUAGCCCUCGGUGCAAUGCCGCCUACCGGGACCGAGGACCGCGCUUCGGCUAGGAUGCUGGCGUAAUGGUUGUAAGCGACCCGUCUUGAAACACGGACCAAGGAGUCUAACAUCUAUGCGAGUGUUUGGGUGUCAAACCCAUACGCGUAAUGAAAGUGAACGGAGGUGAGAACCCUUAAGGGUGCAUCAUCGACCGAUCCUGAUGUCUUCGGAUGGAUUUGAGUAAGAGCAUAGCUGUUGGGACCCGAAAGAUGGUGAACUAUGCGUGAAUAGGGUGAAGCCAGAGGAAACUCUGGUGGAGGCUCGCAGCGGUUCUGACGUGCAAAUCGAUCGUCAAAUUUGCGUAUAGGGGCGAAAGACUAAUCGAACCAUCCGUGCUAGGUGGUUAAGAGAUGCCUGAAAAGCGGCAUUUAGUCCUGACCAAGGGCGACACUAUCAAAUUGUUCGGGGACGUCCCGCUAACUUCUAAGCUACCGCAGCGGUGCCGAAAGGCCUGCGCGCACCAGGUUAACGACCUCGGGGAUGGUAACAACGCUUAGAUAGGGAUUAUCCGCAGCCAAUUCCUACGGGCGGUGCCUAUGGAUGCAGUUCACAGACUAAAUGUUAGUGGGCUCAGGUACACCCUGAGCUUAAGUUAUAGUCGAUCCACCGGGAGACCGGAUCGGCGGGAGGGAUUGCGCUGCAGUGGUACCCCGCGGGGUGCAGCGCAUGAGUGCUCGCCGGGGGACCUCGUGUCCCUGGAGGGGGUAGCCCGCGCUCGAUUCUCGGGCGUCGCGGCCGCCCCUAUAAUGCUAGUAGCUGGUUCCUGCCGAAGUUUCCCUCAGGAUAGCAGUGUUGAAUUCAGUUUUAUGAGGUAAAGCGAAUGAUUAGAGGCCUUGGGGUUGAAACAACCUUAACCUAUUCUCAAACUUUAAAUAUGUAAGAAGUCCUUGUUACUUAAUUGAACGUGGACAUUCGAAUGUACCAACACUAGUGGGCCAUUUUUGGUAAGCAGAACUGGCGAUGCGGGAUGAACCGAACGUGAAGUUAAGGUGCCGGAAUCUACGCUCAUCAGACACCACAAAAGGUGUUAGUUCAUCUAGACAGCAGGACGGUGGCCAUGGAAGUCGGAAUCCGCUAAGGAAUGUGUAACAACUCACCUGCCGAAUGAACUAGCCCUGAAAAUGGAUGGCGCUUAAGCGUAGUACCCAUACUUCACCGCCAGGGUAGAAACGAUGCCCUGGCGAGUAG